rnacentral:lncRNA from 1 species
CCCUACGCGCGACCACGCGCAGGGACCUUAACAGAAUCCCUUAACCCUGUUAGGAAUAUUCCAUUAAAAAGUAACAGAAACCAUUAAAGCUAACCAACAUCGUUAGGAAUAUUCCAUCAAAUUUGACGGAAUAUUCCGUCAUCCCCUACCUUCGAACUCCGACGACCGUGUCGCCCGAAACUGGAAAAACUUUAAAACCUUGUAUCUUAGUCAUUUCUUAACCAAAACUCAUGAAAUUGGUCUUAAUUUAAAGCUUAUAACUAGAAGAACACAUCCUUACCAAUUUCAAGGCUUGAAAUCCACGAAAACUCUCCAAAGAGAGCUCGAUAAUUCCGGCCAAAUUUGAAACUCUUCAAACUUGACUUCCCGACGUCCAGUUUGCUUGGUUUUUCUUCUCCGAGCUUCAUAAGGAUGUUCUAAAGCUUCCUAU